GAUGAACGCUGGCGGCGUGCCUAAUACAUGCAAGUCGAGCGAACAGACGAGGAGCUUGCUCCUCUGACGUUAGCGGCGGACGGGUGAGUAACACGUGGAUAACCUACCUAUAAUACUGGGAUAACUUCGGGAAACCGGAGCUAAUACCGGAGAAUAUAUUGAACCGCAUGGUUCAAUAGUGAAAGACGGUUUUGCUGUCACUUAUAGAUGGAUCCGCGCCGCAUUAGCUAGUUGGUAAGGUAACGGCUUACCAAGGCAACGAUGCGUAGCCGACCUGAGAGGGUGAUCGGCCACACUGGAACUGAGACACGGUCCAGACUCCUACGGGAGGCAGCAGUAGGGAAUCUUCCGCAAUGGGCGAAAGCUUGACGGAGCAACGCCGCGUGAGUGAUGAAGGUCUUCGGAUCGUAAAACUCUGUUAUUAGGGAAGAACAAAUGUGUAAGUAACUAUGCACGUCUUGACGGUACCUAAUCAGAAAGCCACGGCUAACUACGUG
rnacentral:rRNA from 1 species